CUGACAUCUCAUUACUUCAAGUGAAAAUAUUUCAAGAACUAAGCAAGAUAUGAAGAAUCGGUAAAAGAAGUUAUUAAAUAGUUUCAAAAGUUCUAUCAAAUGAGAAAAUAAAAAAAUAUAUUGCCAUUUCCCUUUAAAUUUGCGUGUUUGGAUGGCCUGAUCCAAACACGGGUUUGGACCAAUCAGAGCACGCGUUAUAUUAUGUUAUUUUAUAAUCGUUCUUCUUGUCUAGAUCAAAAUUUCGUCUAUAGCUGGAAUCAUGCAUUAGAUAAUCCCAGAACCGGCAUUGCCAGGACAAAUCGCGUUCAUUAAUUUCCAUAGUUCAUCCGUGAAGCGGAUGAUCAAUUCAGGCCAUUCUGUAAUUAAUAAUUUUUUGGUUGGAAGAGAUAACGUUGUUUAUAUGAAGAUAUUAAAUAUUAAAUUUCUAGGGGUUUUUUCAUGUCCGCAUCUUCCAUAUCCGCAUUUCCGUGUCCGUUUGUCCGUGUUUCCAGGUAACUGCAUUCCCGGACCGCACCCAAAAUGGGGCAACAUUGCCAUU